GGGAUUCAAUCUCCCAGGAUUUAGCUUUGAUCAUCCCUUAACCCAGAGCAUGGCCCUGGGGGUCUGAUUUACACCCACUAGUGUGGCCGUUCAGGGGUGAGAAUCACAGCGGGAAGGGUCGAAAGUCUAGAGGACUGUGAUUGGGGAUGAGAGCCAAGAUUGGGAAUACAAAGAAACUGAGGACUUUGCUAUUAGGAAAGGUCUGAUGUGUUUAGUGCUUUGUGACAUGAUGUGUUAUCCAGCUGCAAGCGGCCAUGACAAGACAUAAUGAGGCUAUAUAUGAGGGGUGCACAUGUUCUGCAACGAUAUCCAGAAGUACAACCUGGAGUGGUCAAUUGCUGUUGUACCUAAUCAUCUUAGGUUUCAUUCAAGAACUGCCACUUACUGGAUGCCUUCUGUUGUUCGCAACAUUCUCUGCAGUCCCUAGAGACUCCAGUGCAUAAAUAAUCCCCAGAUAUCAGCAGUUUCUAAGAUAAAGAUUACAUUUCGUCUCAGUUCUGAUGUCUAGUCUGAACAAUGACUGAACCACUUGAUUGUGUGUAUGUCCCAGUCACCCCUAGUGCCAUGCAACUUGAACUCUGGCAUUUUUAAAUCUUAAUGAACAAUAAAAAGACUUAAGUCAUGAA